rnacentral:rRNA from 1 species
AGAACGAACGCUGGCGGCAUGCCUAACACAUGCAAGUCGAACGAGACCUUCGGGUCUAGUGGCGCACGGGUGCGUAACGCGUGGGAACCUGCCUUUAGGUUCGGAAUAACUCCCCGAAAGGGGUGCUAAUACCGAAUAAUGUCUUCGGACCAAAGAUUUAUCGCCUUUAGAUGGGCCCGCGUUGGAUUAGCUAGUUGGUGGGGUAAAGGCCUACCAAGGCGACGAUCCAUAGCUGGUCUUAGAGGAUGAUCAGCCACACUGGGACUGAGACACGGCCCAGACUCCUACGGGAGGCAGCAGUGGGGAAUAUUGGACAAUGGGCGAAAGCCUGACCCAGCAAUGCCGCGUGAGUGAUGAAGGCCUUAGGGUUGUAAAGCUCUUUUACCCGGGAUGAUAAUGACAGUACCGGGAGAAUAAGCUCCGGCUAACUCCGUGCUAGCAGCCGC